rnacentral:rRNA from 1 species
UACGUAGGGUGCAAGCGUUAAUCGGAAUUACUGGGCGUAAAGCGUGCGCAGGCGGCUUUGCAAGACAGAUGUGAAAUCCCCGGGCUCAACCUGGGAACUGCAUUUGUGACUGCAUGGCUAGAGUGCGGCAGAGGGGGAUGGAAUUCCGCGUGUAGCAGUGAAAUGCGUGAGAUAUGCGGAGGAACACCGAUGGCGAAGGCAUCCCCUGGGCCUGUACUGACGCUCAUGGCACGAAAGCGUGGGGAGCAAACAGG